rnacentral:rRNA from 1 species
GACGAACGCUGGCGGCGUGCUUAACACAUGCAAGUCGAACGGAGUGCCUAUGAUAGAGACUUCGGUCAAUGGAUUAGGUUACUUAGUGGCGGACUGGUGAGUAACGCGUGAGGAACCUGCCUUUCAGAGGGGGACAACAGUUGGAAACGACUGCUAAUACCGCAUAUAGCCUGAGGGUGAAAGCAGCAAUGCGCUAUCAGAUGUGCCCAAACGGGAUUAGCUAGUAGGUGAGGUAACGGCCCACCAAGACCGCGAUCGGUAGCCGGACUGAGAGGUUGAACGGCCACAUUGGGACUGAGACACGGCCCAGACUCCUACGGGAGGCAGCAGUGGGGGAUAUUGCGCAGUGGGGGCAACCCUGACGCAGCAACGCCGCGUGAAGGAUGAAGGUUUUCGGAUUGUAAACUUCUUUUAUUAAGGACGAAUAAUGACGGUACUUAAUGAAUAAGCUCCGGCUAACUACGUG